UACGUAGGGUGCAAGCGUUGUCCGGAAUUAUUGGGCGUAAAGAGCUUGUAGGCGGUUUGUCGCGUCUGCUGUGAAAUUUCGGGGCUCAACCCCGAGCGUGCAGUGGAUACGGGCAGACUAGAGUGUGGUAGGGGAGACUGGAAUUCCUGGUGUAGCGGUGAAAUGCGCAGAUAUCAGGAGGAACACCGGUGGCGAAGGCGGUUCUCUGGGCCUGUACUGACGCUGAGGAGCGAAAGCGUGGGGAGCGAACAGG
rnacentral:rRNA from 1 species